rnacentral:miRNA from 8 species
ACAUACUUCCUUAUAUCCCCAUA